AUUAUUGGAAAAUACUAUUUAAGCUCAGUUCACUUGUAUCUUGGUUACUGAAAUAUAAUUCAAAUGAGAAGCAAUGGAGCAGGAGCCAAUUUCAGAGGAAGCCUAAUCUUUCUUUCAGUGCAUGGUUCAGAUUUUCAUUAAUAAAAAUGUGUAGUGUUUUAAUAUGCACACCAGGCUAGCAUAUUGUAAGUGUGAAAUGAGUUUAAUUUUAUUGAACUUGCUAACUUGCUUAGUCUUGGUGAAAAUGAAUUUACUGAUAUGAGACUAGAACAUAUCUGAACUAUGAAUGAAAAAGAAGUCAAUCUGUUCAGUGAUGGAAUAGUAAAAUAUGAGAAGGAGUUUUUGAUGGAAUGAGGUGGAGGAGCAAAGUGCCUCAUUCAGAUUUUCCAAACAAUCCCCAGUCACUAAAUAGGAAAGCAUUCAUCUAUUACUCUUUGGAAUAUUAAAUGAUAUGUUAAAGAGAGAUUUGGUUUGCUUUGUUAAAUUUGGUGCUUUGGAGGUCUGAAAACAUCUUUUGGCAUAUCAACUUGCAGUCCACUUGCAACUUUAGUUUUAUUAACUUGGGAAAUGAGAAAAUGUGAAGGGAAAAUAUGUGGUAGAAUAUGGGAGGGACGUAGAGCUGAGACUCAGGACUGAAAAAUCUGUCUUGCCGCUGUAAUAUAAUCUAGUCUCCUUUGUCAGUAGGCAGAAGCACAUUACUGGGUAUCAUCACAGAAAUGAAUUUCUGAAGAAAAGCACUGUAAUCAAAGCCUUUUAAUGAGAAAAAAAAGACAGCCAAACCAGUCCAAGUCACACUGAGGUUCUAAGCUCCUAUGAGGAAGUACUUUAAAGAGUGAUCAACUAUUGCUGUAAAAGAGGUCGUGAAAUAAGAGAAUGAAGGGAACCAGCCUCCAUGUAUCAGAUGCUGCCAUGAACAUCUCAUUUAUUUUAUCUCAUUGAAUCCUAACCAAGAUUAUAUGAAGAAGAACCAUGAUGAGCUUCUAGAAAAUGCAUUAUUGAUGUGAUGUAAUAAGGGGUGCUGAAAUAGCACCAGAUGCCACUAGAUGGCCGCUGAGAACAGAACCUUAGUUUAUUCACCAUGAUGACUGGGUACAAAUGGCUGUUAAGCAUUGAGGCAAGGUGGAAUUGUUCUGCCUAAUCAGGGAGGAAAUUAUUUUAAUGAGAUGAGAAGAGGAGGGAAGAAGAGAGCCAGUGGAUGCUGUCAGAGGAGAAGAAGAGGCUGGCGUCCAGAGACCAUACCGCC